AAAAAUAAAAUAAAAUAUUACAAUCUUUUAAAAAUUUCGAAAUAUGUGCAUUCUCAUCUUAUGAUAGAACUUAAACUAUCCCUUACGAAAUUAUGUCAUUCAAAUCAUUUCAAAAACUAUUAUAGUGUUGCCAAAACAUAUACAAUUACAAACAGAUUCUUCAAAAGGACAGACAGAAUCAAAAAAAAAAAAAAAGAAAAAAAAAAGAAAAAGAAAAAGGCAACAUUGACAAGGGCAACAAAGUCUUUAAAUAGUGACAGUUUAACCUAAGCACUCCGCAGGUAAAAGAAGCACAGAUUGUCGGGAGCAGAAAUUGUUAUGGGGCAAUCAGAGAUGGUGGACCAAAGUUAAAUGGCUUGUCUAAACAUCGAACAUGUAAAUCCACCGUUAAAAAGUUAAAACCCUCCAAUUUUCCAGGUGGAUUCCAUCGUGGUUGUCAAAGCCGUUCGAUGUUUAAUCCCCAAAAGGAACUCAGGCUGGCUUAGCGCUUAGGGAACUGAAAAAGUAGCAGCCGGAGGAGCCGACAAGAACCUGCGGAAAGAGUAGCCGCGGAGCCGACAAGUACGCGCCGCUGCCGCCGAUUUGCUGUCUGAGUAAGCGUCCAGGGAAAGCGACUCAUAACUGCUUUAGGAGGACACACGUCGAGAAAUUAAUGUGAGGAAGGGAGUAUAAAGUAGGUUCUGUGUACGGAAGAUCGUUUCCGGAAAUGACAGAGCAUGCGAAUUCCAUUUCCAGGUGGAUCGUUUACAUCCUGGUGGGACUAUUGGUGGGUGGGACCCACCUGUUCUGCACCAACCCCCCCUCCAUAACGCGAAAAAUGUCAUUCUCCUUUUGACCUUUCGUCCUUUUUGUAAUUGGUUCUUUCAAGUAACUUCCGCAGACUCUUUUCUUUCGAUUCAAUUUGAUUUGGGUUUAGUUUAUUUAACAAAUAUAAAAAUUGAUAUGACUUAGGUUUCUUUUUUUUUAAUAAUUUUAUAUCUGGACAUAAAUAUCGAAUAUAUAUGAACAAAAAAAUAUCUUAACCAUAAUUUUUUUCAUAAUUACCUUCAAUAAAUAGCUUUCUUCGAAUGUGUAUUAAUUUGGUAUUGUUUAAUUUGACAUACUUGUCUUCAUUUGAGAUAAAGGGUGUGUUUGGUUGAUGGGAUCGGCCAUGACAGAAUGGGAUUGUGUUCCAAGUGUGAUGUUUGGUUUACAAUUUUAAAUUUGGGACAAAUUAACCCAAACAGUGUUUUAAUACCAAAUGACUGGGACUCAAUUGACCCGUCCCCCUCUGGGCCAUAUUUGUCCUAAGCUCAUCGAAGGUCUCUCUCGCUGGCAACUCCCUCCCAGUGGUGUCUUUGGCUAGAUCAUUUUUGCUGGACUGUUCGCGUCUCUCGUAGGAGUGGAAACUCCCGGGCUUGAUAUUCACGAGGAAGAAGGCUUAAUUUUGGAGGCUUAAACUAGAGCUAAAGCAUCAGAUUUGGAAGUUUAGACUUAUCUUGUGAUUUGGAUCGGUUGGAUAACGAGGCAGUGCAACUUACGAGUGGUUGAGAAACUUCGGUCCCUGACAGCCAAAAAAGCUUGAAAUGGAGGUUGGAGGUAGCAGUCAUGAUAUCCGAGGGGUCGAAUCUAGACGAAUAUGGAGUAAAAUGGAGGAAGAUGCUUUGCUGCUUAUUUUAGAUGAGGUUGUAGUUAGUGGGCAGCGGUGUGACACAGGAUCAUUCAAGCCUGGCACAAGUGCUAUGAUUGAGAGGCGAUUAGCUGAGAUAUGUCCUAAUUCGGGGUUGCGAGCAAAUCCACAUAUUUAGUCAAAAUUGAAAAAGUGGAAGAAGCAAUACGGUAUAAUAUACGAUAUGCUAAACAAAAGUGGAUUUGGAUGGAAUGACUCUCUUAAAUGUGUGGAAGUUGAUAGUGACGAAGUUUGGAAAGCAUAUAUGCAGAGUAAUCCAAGUGCAAAGGCAUGGAGAGAUAAAUCGUUUCCGAUGUAUGAGAGGCUUGCUACAAUUUUUGGAAAGGAUCGGGCAACAAGACAUGGAGCACAAACUUUGAUUGAUAUGGUCAAUGAUUUGAAUUUGGAUAGUGGGAAUGAACAAUUUAAUGAUGUGUGUUCUCCUAUGUCUAUGAAUGAAAUACAUAGUGAACCGUCCACCCGAUCUAAAUCAAGAGGUAAGAGAAAAUCUGGAUUGAAGGAUGAUGAUAUUAUGAGCGGGUUUAGCAAUGUAGCAGAGAAAUUGUUUGAUAAAUUGGCUGCAAAGUUAGAUAAAUCUGAAGCCAAUUAUCCACAAUACUUAGCUAUGGAGCUUGACAGGUUAGGCUUCUCUGCUGAUGACAAUCUCGAUAUCUCUAAGGCAUUAAGAUUGGAUCCAUCGAAUGAUGAGGUGUUUAAGAUUAUUAGGACGGAUGCGGGCAAGAUUGAUUUUGCUAGGAAAUUUUUAAAUUACUAAGUAUCUUUGUGGAUCAUAUAUUUAAGCCUAUAUAUGAAGGGAUGAUAAUUAGGAACACUUAUAUUUGAACUUUAUGGACAUAUGUUGUAUGAUUGUUUAUGGACAUAUGUGGUAUGGUAAUGGAUAUUGGUAUCUAAUUAUGCAUGUAAAGACACUUUUAUGAAGCAUGUGUUAUGUUUUAGUGUAUUAAUAUGCACUUGAUUGAUUUAAUGCAUUGUCAUUUUGUUUAAUUAUAUUAUUAUAUUAUGU